rnacentral:ncRNA from 1 species
UGUCCGAGGGGCGCUGCAGCAGGCACCAGUUUCUGGUUGACCUGUCAGGCUCGGAUGGGGCGUUUUCACAGAAACGCAUCAACGGCGCCCA